rnacentral:rRNA from 1 species
GGGUCAGUAGGUUGGUCGUGCCACCGGUACGUACUGGUCUCACUGAUUCCUCCUUCCUGAAGAACCGUAAUGCCAUUAAUUUGGUGUUGCGGGGAAACAGGACUGUUACUUCGAAAAAAUUAGAGUGUUUAAAGCAAGCUAACGCUUGAAUACAUUAGCAUGGAAUAAUGAAAUAGGACGAUCGAUCCUAUUUUGUUGGUUUCUAGGAUUGACGCA